ACGCUCGACACCUACGGUAGGCAGCAGUGGGGAAUAUUGCACAAUGGGGGAAACCCUGAUGCAGCGACGCCGCGUGAAGGAAGAAGUAUCUCGGUAUGUAAACUUCUAUCAGCAGGGAAGAAAGUGACGGUACCUGACUAAGAAGCCCCGGCUAACUACGUGUCAGCAGCCGCGAUAAUCUGAGCGGGCUGGCAAGGC
rnacentral:rRNA from 1 species